rnacentral:rRNA from 1 species
GCAUUAUACCGCGAAACUGCGAAUGGCUCAUUAUAUAAGUUAUCGUUUAUUUGAUAGUACCUUACUACUUGGAUAACCGUGGUAAUUCUAGAGCUAAUACAUGCUAAAAAUCCCGACUUCGGAAGGGAUGUAUUUAUUAGAUUAAAAACCAAUGCCCUUCGGGGCUCACUGGUGAUUCAUGAUAACUCCUCGAAUCGCAUGGCCUUGUGCCGGCGAUGGUUCAUUCAAAUUUCUUCCCUAUCAACUUUCGAUGUUUGGGUAUUGGCCAAACAUGGUUGCAACGGGUAACGGAGGGUUAGGGCUCGACCCCGGAGAAGGAGCCUGAGAAACGGCUACUACAUCCAAGGAAGGCAGCAGGCGCGCAAAUUACCCAAUCCCGACACGGGGAGGUAGUGACAAUAAAUACUGAUACAGGGCUCUUUUGGGUCUUGUAAUUGGAAUGAGUACAAUUUAAAUCCCUUAACGAGGAACAAUUGGAGGGCAAGUCUGGUGCCAGCAGCCGCGGUAAUUCCAGCUCCAAUAGCGUAUAUUAAAGUUGUUGUGGUUAAAAAGCUCGUAGUUGAACCUUGGGCCUGGCUGGCCGGUCCGCCUCACCGCGUGUACUGGUCCGGCCGGGCCUUUCCCUCUGUGGAACCCCAUGCCCUUCACUGGGUGUGGCGGGGAAACAGGACUUUUACUGUGAAAGAAUUAGAGUGCUCCAGGCAGGCCUAUGCUCGAAUACAUUAGCAUGGAAUAAUAGAAUAGGACGUGUGGUUCUAUUUUGUUGGUUUCUAGGACCGCCGUAAUGAUUAAUAGGGACAGUCGGGGGCAUCAGUAUUCAAUUGUCAGAGGUGAAAUUCUUGGAUUUAUUGAAGACUAACUACUGCGAAAGCAUUUGCCAAGGAUGUUUUCAUUAAUCAGGAACGAAAGUUAGGGGAUCGAAGACGAUCAGAUACCGUCGUAGUCUUAACCAUAAACUAUGCCGACUAGGGAUCGGACGGUGUUAUUUUUUGACCCGUUCGGCACCUUACGAGAAAUCAAAGUGCUUGGGCUCCAGGGGGAGUAGGGUCGCAAGGCUGAAACUUAAAGAAAUUGACGG